rnacentral:rRNA from 1 species
GACGAACGCUGGCGGCGUGCCUAAUACAUGCAAGUCGAACGCAGUGGGGACGGGUGCUUAAAACGUGGGUAACCUCCCAUCAGAGGGGAUAACACUUGGAAACAGGUGCUAAACCGAUACUGAUGGAUGGACCCGCGGUGCAUUAGCGAGUUGGUGGGGUAACGGCUAACCAAGGCCACGAUGCAUAGCCGGCCUGCGAGGGUGAGCGGCCACACUGGGACUGAGACACGGCCCAGACUCCGACGGGAGGCAGCAGUAGGGAAUCUUCGGCAAUGGACGAAAGGCUGAUCGAGCAACGCCGCGUGAGUGAAGAAGGUUUUCGGAUUGUAAAAUUCUGUUGUCAGAGAAGCGGUAUCUACCCAGAAAGCCCCGGCUAACUCCGUGCCAGCAGCCGCGGUAAUUC